rnacentral:rRNA from 1 species
AGGCAGCAGUAAGGAAUAUUGGUCAAUGGACGAAAGUCUGAACCAGCCAUGCCGCGUGAAGGAUGACGGCCCUCUGGGUUGUAAACUUCUUUUAUCUGGGACGAAAAAAGGGGAUUCUUCCUCACUUGACGGUACCAGAGGAAUAAGCACCGGCUAACUCCGUGCCAGCAGCCGCGGUAAUACGGAGGGUGCAAGCGUUAUCCGGAUUUACUGGGUUUAAAGGGUGCGUAGGUGGACAGGAAAGUCAGUGGUGAAAUCUUCGAGCUUAACUCGGAAACUGCCAUUGAUACUAUUUGUCUUGAAUACUUUGGAGGUAAGCGGAAUAUGUCAUGUAGCGGUGAAAUGCUUAGAUAUGACAUAGAACACCAAUUGCGAAGGCAGCUUACUACACAGUCAUUGACACUGAGGCACGAAAGCGUGGGGAUCAAACCAGGAUUAGAUACCCUGGUAG